rnacentral:rRNA from 1 species
UGCAGAAUCCCGUGAACCAUCGAGUCUUUGAACGCAAGUUGCGCCCGAAGCCUUAAGGCCGAGGGCACGCCUGCCUGGGCGUCA